rnacentral:rRNA from 1 species
GACGAACGCUGGCGGCGUGCCUAAUACAUGCAAGUAGGACGCAGUUGCGAACGGGUGAGUAACGCGUAGGUAACUACCUAUUAGAGGGGGAUAAAUAUUGGAAAAGAUAGCUAAUACCGCAUACUAGUAGAUGGACCUGCGUUGUAUUAGCUAGUAGGUAGGGUAAUGGCCUACCUAGGCAAUGAUGCAUAGACGACCUGCGAGGGUAAUCGGCCACAUUGGUACUGAGACACGGCCCAACCUCCUACGGGAGGCAGCAGUAGGGAAUCUUCCGCAAUGGGCGCAAGCCUGACGGAGCAACGCCGCGUGAGUGAAGAAGGUUUUCGGAUCGUAAAGCUCUGUUGUAAGAGAAGCGGUAUCUUACCAGAAAGCCCCGGCUAACUACGUGCCAGCAGCCGCGGUAAUAC